GAGCCCACAUGAUCGACCGAUCGGGCCGUUUGAACCGCCGACCGUCCUCGGCGAAUCCAGCGGCCGGCAGCGACGCCGUGUCCCACCCGCACGCCGAACUCGCCUCGUCGUCCCCACGCGCGUCAGCCUCCGCCGCAUUCGUCGAUUCCCGCGCCGCCGGCGAUAGCUUCGGCUUACGCGCGGGGCGGGAUGGCGUACGCCCUUUGCUCUCCCUGCUACCACCAGCAUCACCACCGUUCCUUUAACUACCGCCGCCUCCGCGCCUCCCCUUCCAGCCACGUCCGUCCCCGGAACCACACCGGCGGCCCGUCAGGAUUGAAAGCCACAAGGUAUCUUUAUUCCCGACCAAUGUCCAAGGGUAGGGGCAGUCCUGUAUCGUGUUCAUCCAUGGGAGCUUCCAAAAGCAAGCGAGAACCAGAUCAUCUCCUUAUUCUGGUUCACGGUAUCAUGGCAAGCCCCAGUGACUGGAUAUACGGUGAAGCAGUGCUGAAAAAACGGCUAGGUGACAAUUUUUUCAUCUAUGCUAGUUCAUCAAACAUCUACGCCAAAACUUUUGACGGGAUCGAUGUAGCUGGAAGAAGGUUAGCGAAAGAAGUCUUGGACUUGGUAGAGAAGAUGACUGGCUUGAGAAAGAUUUCCUUCAUAGCACAUUCUUUGGGUGGAUUGUUUGCUAGAUAUGCUAUUUCUAUUCUAUAUUCACUGAAAGCAGAAGAAACAGGAAGUAGUACUAAUGCCAUGCCAACAACUGAAGGAUCUGAAAUGUCACUACUCACUCCAGGAUUAGGUACCAUUGCUGGGUUGGAGCCAAUUAAUUUUAUUACAUUGGCAACCCCACACCUUGGUGUUAGAGGGAAGAAUCAGCUUCCAUUUCUCCAAGGGCUAUCAGUUCUAGAGAAACUUGCUGCACCUUUGGCUCCCUUCAUUGUAGGACGCACUGGUGCUCAACUCUUUCUCACUGAUGGUGAACCUAGCAAGCCACCUCUUCUUCUAAUAAUGACAUCUGAUCAAGAGGACAAAAAGUUUAUGUCUGCGCUAGCAGCUUUCAAGAACCGCAGUUUGUAUGCUAAUGUUUCAUAUGACCACAUGGUUGGAUGGAAAACAUCUUCAAUAAGGAGAGAAUUGGACCUUAAAAAGCCCUUGCAUCGUUCGGUUGAUGGCUACAAGCACAUUGUCAAUGUGGAAUACUGUUCGCCUGUAUCAUCAGACGGUCCCCAUUUUCCUUCACGAGCUGCCAGAGCUAAAGAAGCUGCACAAAGUAGACCAAAUAUCGAAAAUACCGAGGAAUAUCACAAAAUGAUGGAAGGUAGAGGAGAUGAUCCAUGGCUUGCAGAGAGUGGGUUGGAAGAAAGUAGAUGUCAACUUCCAUGCAUCCCUGUGGCCUUACUCUGCUCACAACAACAUACAUGUUAAGAGUGAGUGGCUUCACAACGCGGGUGCAGGUGUUAUCUCCCACGUCGCGGACAGCGUAAGACAAACAUGUUUGCAUGCCAACCUGUGAGAUCUGCAGUUGGUGAGCUGAAACCUGCCAUGAUCUGCAGGGAAGUGAUACAUCUAGUUGCAGAAGGUUUGCAAGUCAGGCGCGGUUGUUUGGGAACUGGAAGCUGCAAAGAGCCAGCUGUCAGUAUAAUUGCAGAAGGUUCCCAAUUCAGGAGCAGUUGUCUAGGAACUAUUCAUCUCGUUGUAUAUUUUUCAGAUGAUUGCCUCAACUUAUGUUGAAGGCAAAUAUGAUUAGCUUGUAGCUAUUUAUGGAUUCCAUGAAUAAUGUUUAUGGUCAUACCGUUAAGUGGUCUUGUUGGAAA